UACGUAGGGGGCAAGCGUUGUUCGGAAUUACUGGGCGUAAAGGGCGCGUAGGCGGCGCGUAAAGUCGGACAUGAAAUUAUUGGGCUUAACCCGAUGGCUGUGCCCGAUACUUGCGUGCUUAGAGUGCGGGAGAGGCAAUCGGAAUUCCCGGUGUAGCGGUGAAAUGCGUAGAUAUCGAGAGGAACUCCGGUGACGAAGGCGGGUUGCUGGACCGUCACUGACGCUGAGGCGAGAAAGCUAGGGGAGCAAACGGG
rnacentral:rRNA from 1 species